AUACGUAGGGGGCGAGCGUUGUCCGGAAUUACUGGGCGUAAAGGGAGCGUAGACGGUGGUGCAAGCCAGAUGUGAAGAUCCGGGGCUCAACUCCGGACCUGCAUUUGGAACUGCGCGACUGGAGUACCGGGUGGGCAGGCGGAAUUCCUGGUGUAGCGGUGAAAUGCGUAGAUAUCAGGAGGAAUACCGAAGGCGAAGGCAGUCUUCUAAGCCGAUAUUGACGCUAAACUGCGAAGGUGUGGGGAUCAAACAGGAUUAGAUACCCUGGUAGUCCACACAGUAAACGAUAAUCACUAGGUGUUGGGUUCUUAAGAGGAUUCAGUGCCGGAGCUAACGCGAUAAGUGAUUCGCCUGGGGAGUACGAUCGCAAGGUUGAAACUUAAAGGAAUUGGCGGGG
rnacentral:rRNA from 1 species